CGGAGCCCAAUAGACCCAAACCCCAAAUUGAACCCAAAACAAUUAGUCAAACUAGGGUUUCAGCUUUUCUGAAACCCUAGGUAACCCAGCGCCGACGUCGUCUGUAGGCUGCCCUAUCCGAUCACCUCCUCUGCCUCGUCACGUCCCCUCCACUGCUCUGACCCUGGAAAAUGAAACAAACACGCAACAACAGAAGAACCAAGUAGAGAACAACCAAAAUAGGAAGGAAAAUGAUGUCCAACUUGGUUAUAAAGGCCGAGAUUUAAUGCUUGUAAAGGGUUCUUCCUUUUUUUUUUACGGAUAUUGGAGAAAAUAAAAACAAAAAUAUUCAAAGCGAUUUCUGGUUCUAUUUCAAUCUGUCUAUUUAUUUUAUCUUUAUUUUCAUUAUCUUUUUUUUUAUAAACGAAAAUAAUAAAAAAGGGGGUUACCGGAGACGCCUCGUGAUCGCGCCGUCGGAGGGUGGUUCUCCGUCGUCGGACCUGAUUCAAAAAAGGGGGUCGAGAGCCUCUGUUUCGGCGCUUACGGGGCUCAAAGACCCAACUUUCCAACUCGCUAGAAACUGGGCUUUAAAAGCCUGUUAUUGCGCUUCGUCGGCCGUUGGAUUCAGUGGCACUGCGGCGGACGGAUGAAUGGCGGUGAGAAGCCCGAUCGUCGGAGGGCAUGGGGGUUUGAGAGAUUUCUGCGAAUUUUUUUUAGUGGGGGGGAAUAAAUAAAAAAUAAAAAAUUGGGUUUAAAUAGAGAGGUGAAACGGCAGCGUUUUGGGUGACCUCCCCAGACGCAAAAUGAUUCCGUUUUGCGUAAGACCCGAUUACCCGACCCGACGCAGCUAGGAUCCGCGUGUUUUCGUGGGGGAGGGAAUAUUUUCACAUAAGGUCCCUUCUCUUUUGCGCCUUAGAGCAAUAUGUUCCCCAUUGUUUUUAUAAUUUGGCCCCAUUAAUUUGUUUUGGUUUCCAGUUUAGUCCCUAUUGAAACUGCGUGUUUUGGAGGAUGGGGAUUAUUUCCCAUUUGGCCCCUCCUUGUUAUUCGCGCGUUCAUUUUGAUCUUUUUCCUUUUUAUUUAUUUCGAAUUUGCCCCAAAAUUUUGUUUUUAACUCAAUUUAGUCCCC
rnacentral:lncRNA from 1 species